rnacentral:rRNA from 1 species
AGUGAACGCUGGCGGUAGGCCUAACACAUGCAAGUCGAACGGCAGCACAGUAAGAGCUUGCUCUUACGGGUUGCGAGUGGCGGACGGGUGAGGAAUACAUCGGAAUCUACUUUUUCGUGGGGGAUAACGUAGGGAAACUUACGCUAAUACCGCAUACGACCUACGGUUGAAAGCAGGGGAUCUUCGGACCUUGCGCGAUUGAAUGAGCCGAUGUCGGGUUAGCUAGUUGGCGGGGUAAAGGCCCACCAAGGCGACGAUCCGUAGCUGGUCUGAGAGGAUGAUCAGCCACACUGGAACUGAGACACGGUCCAGACUCCUACGGGAGGCAGCAGUGGGGAAUAUUGGACAAUGGGCGCAAGCCUGAUCCAGCCAUACCGCGUGGGUGAAGAAGGCCUUCGGGUUGUAAAGCCCUUUUGUUGGGAAAGAAAAGCAGCAGGUUAAUACCCCGCUGUUCUGACGGUACCCAAAGAAUAAGCACCGGCUAACUUCGUG